AUUGAACGCUGGCGGCAGGCCUAACACAUGCAAGUCGAGCGGAUGAAGGGAGCUUGCUCCUGGAUUCAGCGGCGGACGGGUGAGUAAUGCCUAGGAAUCUGCCUGGUAGUGGGGGAUAACGUCCGGAAACGGGCGCUAAUACCGCAUACGUCCUAAGGGAGAAAGGGGGGGAUCUUCGGACCUCACGCUAUCAGAUGAGCCUAGGUCGGAUUAGCUAGUUGGUGGGGUAAAGGCCUACCAAGGCGACGAUCCGUAACUGGUCUGAGAGGAUGAUCAGUCACACUGGAACUGAGACACGGUCCAGACUCCUACGGGAGGCAGCAGUGGGGAAUAUUGGACAAUGGGCGAAAGCCUGAUCCAGCCAUGCCGCGUGUGUGAAGAAGGUCUUCGGAUUGUAAAGCACUUUAAGUUGGGAGGAAGGGCAGUAAGUUAAUACCUUGCUGUUUUGACGUUACCAACAGAAUAAGCACCGGCUAACUUCGUG
rnacentral:rRNA from 1 species